rnacentral:misc_RNA from 1 species
AGAACUCCCCCCCGCUUGUUAACUGGGCAUUAAAUUAAAUUCAGGUUAUAUAAUAAAUAAAUAAGUGAAUAAUAAUACUGAUUUGAAGAAAAGAAACCACAACCAACAAAAGAGCACAGUUGUACAGGAAAAUAAAAAUAUAAAGGAAAAGGAAAAAUAUAGAAAACAAACAAUGUUCUGAAUUCUAAUAUCCGUCUAUGGGAUUCGAAUAACAUAUGCCAGUCUAUCUAUCUUUCUAUAUAUCCAGAAAGCUCAAAUGAAUGGUGAUAUGACUAUUCUUGCAAAACAAAAUGAGCUUCAAAGAUUAGGUAUUAAAUAUUCCAGCUAAAUUUCACUUACAAUCACUGAAAUUUAUGGGUUAUUACAA